rnacentral:rRNA from 1 species
ACGCUCGACACCUACGGGAGUCAGCAGUCGGGAAUAUUGCGCAAUGGAGGAAACUCUGACGCAGUGACGCCGCGUGCAGGAAGAAGGUUUUCGGAUUGUAAACUGCUUUAGACAGGGAAGAAAGAAAUGACAGUACCUGUAGAAUAAGCUCCGGCUAACUACGUGCCUGCAGCCGCGGUAAUCUGAGCGGGCUGGCAAGGC